rnacentral:rRNA from 1 species
UGGGGAAUUUCCGCAAUGGGCGAAAGCCUGACGGAGCAACGCCGCGUGGGGGAAGAAGGCCUUUGGGUUGUAAACUCCUUUUCUCAGGGAAGAAGGACUGACGGUACCUGAGGAAUCAGCCUCGGCUAACUCCGUGCCAGCAGCCGCGGUAAUACGGAGGAGGCAAGCGUUAUCCGGAAUUAUUGGGCGUAAAGCGUUCGUAGGCGGCGUUUCAAGUCUGCUGUCAAAGGCCGAGGCUCAACUUCGGAAAGGCAGUGGAAACUGAAAAGCUAGAGGUCGGUAGGGGCAGAGGGAAUUCCCAGUGUAGCGGUGAAAUGCGUAGAUAUUGGGAAGAACACCGGUGGCGAAAGCGCUCUGCUGGGCCGAACCUGACGC